AGAGUUUGAUCCUGGCUCAGGAUGAACGCUAGCUACAGGCUUAACACAUGCAAGUCGAGGGGCAGCAUGGUCUUAGCUUGCUAAGGCCGAUGGCGACCGGCGCACGGGUGAGUAACGCGUAUCCAACCUGCCUUACACUCUUGGACAGCCUUCUGAAAGGGAGAUUAAUACAAGAUGUUAUCAUGAGUAAGCAUUUUCGCAUGAUUAAAGGUUUACCGGUGUAAGAUGGGGAUGCGUUCCAUUAGAUAGUAGGCGGGGUAACGGCCCACCUAGUCUUCGAUGGAUAGGGGUUCUGAGAGGAAAGUCCCCCACAUUGGAACUGAGACACGGUCCAAACUCCUACGGGAGGCAGCAGUGAGGAAUAUUGGUCAAUGGACGAGAGUCUGAACCAGCCAAGUAGCGUGAAGGAUGAAGGUUCUAUGGAUUGUAAACUUCUUUUAUACGGGAAUAAACGGAUCCACGUGUGGAUUUUUGCAUGUACCGUAUGAAUAAGGAUCGGCUAACUCCGUGCCAGCAGCCGCGGUAAUACGGAGGAUCCGAGCGUUAUCCGGAUUUAUUGGGUUUAAAGGGAGCGUAGAUGGGUUGUUAAGUCAGUUGUGAAAGUUUGCGGCUCAACCGUAAAAUUGCAAUUGAUACUGGCAGUCUUGAGUACAGUUGAGGUAGGCGGAAUUCGUGGUGUAGCGGUGAAAUGCUUAGAUAUCACGAAGAACUCCGAUUGCGAAGGCAGCUUACUAACCUGUAACUGACAUUGAUGCUCGAAAGUGUGGGUAUCAAACAGGAUUAGAUACCCUGGUAGUCCACACGGUAAACGAUGAAUACUCGCUGUAGGCGAUAUACAGUCUGCGGCCAAGCGAAAGCAUUAAGUAUUCCACCUGGGGAGUACGCCGGCAACGGUGAAACUCAAAGGAAUUGACGGGGGCCCGCACAAGCGGAGGAACAUGUGGUUUAAUUCGAUGAUACGCGAGGAACCUUACCCGGGCUUAAAUUGCAACCGAAUAUGGCGGAAACGCUAUAGCUAGCAAUAGCGGUUGUGAAGGUGCUGCAUGGUUGUCGUCAGCUCGUGCCGUGAGGUGUCGGCUUAAGUGCCAUAACGAGCGCAACCCUUGCCGAUAGUUACUAACAAGUUAUGCUGAGGACUCUGUCGGGACUGCCAUCGUAAGAUGUGAGGAAGGUGGGGAUGACGUCAAAUCAGCACGGCCCUUACGUCCGGGGCUACACACGUGUUACAAUGGGGGGUACAGAGGGCUGCUACCACGCAAGUGGAUGCCAAUCCCAAAAACCUCUCUCAGUUCGGAUUGAAGUCUGCAACCCGACUUCAUGAAGCUGGAUUCGCUAGUAAUCGCGCAUCAGCCACGGCGCGGUGAAUACGUUCCCGGGCC
rnacentral:rRNA from 1 species